CUUACCUGGACUGUGAUUUACCUGGACUGUGAGUUAAUCUAUCUUUGCAAAUGGUGUCAUUGCUGGUAAAAUUUUUCCAAGGGCUUCUUACAUGGAGCCAUGGAAUGGCUUGGUAUUGUGACAUUUUGUAUCCUUCCUUUCUGUUUGUAACAGGUUAUUUAUGGUGUUUUUGUAAAAACCACUAUGGUCGUUAUUUAAAUUAAACAAAAGGGGGAAAUGUUAGAGUCUGUAAACAAGUCAAAAUAACACCUGGCAUUUUGCCAGGGGAAUGUUAGAGUUCGUAAACAAGUCUGGAUGGUGCCUGGCAAAAUGCCAGAGGGAGUGGUUUGAGAAGUAA
rnacentral:lncRNA from 1 species